rnacentral:rRNA from 1 species
GGUGAGUAACACGUGGGUAACCUGCCCAGAAGCAGGGGAUAACACCUGGAAACAGAUGCUAAUACCGUAUAACAGAGAAAACCGCCUGGUUUUCUUUUAAAAGAUGGCUCUGCUAUCACUUCUGGAUGGACCCGCGGCGCAUUAGCUAGUUGGUGAGGUAACGGCUCACCAAGGCGAUGAUGCGUAGCCGACCUGAGAGGGUAAUCGGCCACAUUGGGACUGAGACACGGCCCAGACUCCUACGGGAGGCAGCAGUAGGGAAUCUUCCACAAUGGACGCAAGUCUGAUGGAGCAACGCCGCGUGAGUGAAGAAGGGUUUCGGCUCGUAAAGCUCUGUUGUUAAAGAAGAACGUGGGUGAGAGUAACUGUUCACCCAGUGACGGUAUUUAACCAGAAAGCCACGGCUAACUACGUGCCAGCAGCCGCGGUAAUACGUAGGUGGCAAGCGUUAUCCGGAUUUAUUGGGCGUAAAGCGAGCGCAGGCGGUCUUUUAAGUCUAAUGUGAAAGCCUUCGGCUCAACCGAAGAAGUGCAUUGGAAACUGGGAGACUUGAGUGCAGAAGAGGACAGUGGAACUCCAUGUGUAGCGGUGAAAUGCGUAGAUAUAUGGAAGAACACCAGUGGCGAAGGCGGCUGUCUGGUCUGUAACUGACGCUGAGGCUCGAAAGCAUGGGUAGCGAACAGGAUUAGAUACCCUGGUAGUCCAUGCCGUAAACGAUGAUUACUAAGUGUUGGAGGGUUUCCGCCCUUCAGUGCUGCAGCUAACGCAUUAAGUAAUCCGCCUGGGGGAGUACGACCGCAAGGUUGAAACUCAAAAGAAUUGACGG